rnacentral:piRNA from 1 species
UAACUGUUUUUGAGUUGUGAGCUGUCUGC